CUCCUAACAGGUAGGCUAGAGGUUGAGUUUUGUCUAGUCUUCUAGGGUGGACCUAGUGAACUAGCUAUUCUCUCCCUGUGGCUUUCUUCUUGAUCCAUCAUACCAACUACCUGUACCGGUGUAUCCUGUGGACUGACUGAGAUAUUCCUGCAGAGCUGCUUGAGACACCUAAAGCCAUCUUUUCCAGAAGAUGAAUUGUUGUUAAAAACCAAUGAACCAAUGAGUUGGAAAGCGCCUCAGGGACCAUCUAGUUCAACCUGUAUCUGAAAAAGAAUGCCUCCUAUAUCAUCUCCCGCUCAAGUUUUGGUUGUCCUAUUCAGUCUUCUCCAGGCUCAAAAGCUUUGAUUUCUUCAAUUAAUCCUUGGGGAGGAUUAUCCUACAAUAGAAUUAUUACCUCUCUAGUCCUGGACCAAGAAUACUUUUUCUUAAAUUAAGUCUGAAUUAUUUCUUUAUAACUUCUAACCAUUACUACUAGUUCUGAUCUCUGAGACCAAGCAAUUACCAAAAGUUGAUUACAUCUCCUUAGGCAUUCUCCUCACCAUGCUAAAAAUCCUUAAUUUUUAAAACUUAUUUUCAUAAGCUUUAUCAGGCUUGCAACUUUCUUCCAUACAACUUCUAGUUUAGUACAUCUUAAAAAAAAAUAGCUAGUAGAGCUGAAUAAAAAUUGUAGUUUGACCCACACAAAGCACCAAAGAACUAUAACCCCCUCUUAUUAAUACAAUCUAUACUCAAAAUUAGCUUUAUUGAUUGCCAUAAAACUCUGAUUCAUAUUGAAUUUAACUUAAGUCCACUACUACACCUAGGCCUUAUUCCUCCCCCCAUUUUGUAUGUUGACUUUAUCUUAAUUUAUUUGGCCCAACAUUAGGACUUGUCAAAAACUUUUUGGUUUUAACUCUAUCAUUAAUGUGUUAUCCAUUAGCUUCAAAUCAUCUGCAUAUUUGACAUACCUGCUAACUAAGCUUUAACCAAGUAAUUGGUAAAAAUGUUAAACUAGGCCAACCAAACACAGAUUCUCAAGGCAGUUAGAUAUCCAAAAUCAAUUAUUUUUUUCUGGAUCCAGCUAUUUAAUCAGUUGAAAAUCUACCUACCUAUACUCUUUUCUAACCCCCCUUUUUAAAAAUCUUCUCCAUGAAACAGCAUAAAACUUUAUUAAUUACCUUGAUAAGAUCUAGAUAAACUAAAUUGAUGGAAUUUCUCUUAGUUUUACAACCUUGUUUAAAUAUAGGGGAGGAAUGAAAUAGUUUUCUAUGACUUGUUCUUCAAAUAAUGCUGGCUCACUGACACUUCCUUUUCUAGAUAUUCAUUCUCCCUUUAAUAAUACAUCUUAGAAAUUUUGCCAGAAAAUGAAAUCUUGUUUGUUUACCUAUAACUUUCAAGUCUACUGUCUUCUUUUUGAAAAAUCAGAUCAUUUGCCCUUCUGUACUCUAACAGCAUGUAACCUGUUUUUCAUAACCUUUCAAAAAUGUCUGACAGUAGUUCAUCCAUCAUAGUCACCAAUUCUUUUGGUAUCCUAGGAUGUAAUUCACACGGACUUGAUCACUUUAUAAGCAGCAAUAAUAAUUCACAUUUAUAGAGAACAUUAAGAUAUGUAAAGUGCUUUACAUAAAAUACAUCAUUUCAACAAACUCAUUAAGGGUAGCUAGGUGUUCUUUUAUUAGGUCACUACAUAUCUUGGGCUUUGAAUUUUUAUUUGCAAUUUUUGUUCUUGUCCCUUUGAGUACAAAAAUUAUUCUUUCUUUUUGACAGAAAACAGAAGAGAAAAGUUAAGCAACUUUGGCUUCCUUCCUUUGCCUUUUAUCAUUAUUACAUCCAUUCUGAAAAACAGUCCCACCUCUUUUUUUAAGUCUUCUCUUAAAACAAACAAAAAAUCCAAUCCUACCCUUAUUUUGUUAUUCUUAGCUUUUCCCAACAUCUUUACCUCAUUCUAAGCUCUCGAACUACUGAAACCAUUCGUUUAAAACUUUUUUUAUACCUAUAUACAUAUAUAGUAUUUUUCCUCUGUACCAUGACCUUCCUUCCAUUUUCUGCUUAUGUUUUUUUAAAAAG